rnacentral:rRNA from 1 species
GUAGUCCUAGCUGUAAACACUGCCCACUUGGUGUUGCAUCUCCGGUAAGGGGGUGCAGUGCCGGAGCGAAGGUGUUAAGUGGGCCGCUUGGGGAGUAUGGUCGCAAGGCUGAAACUUAAAGGAAUUGGCGGGGGAGCACCGCAACGGGAGGAGCGUGCGGUUUAAUUGGAUUCAACGCCGGAAAACUCACCGGGAGCGACCUUUGGAUGAGAGUCAACCUGACGAGUUUACUCGAUAGAAGGAGAGGUGGUGCAUGGCCGUCGUCAGCUCGUACCGUAGGGCGUUCACUUAAGUGUGAUAACGAGCGAGACCCCCAUCUUUAAUUGCCAUGUUGUCUUUGCGGGCAACGGCACUUUAGAGGGACCGCCAGCGCUAAGCUGGAGGAAGGAGGGGUCGACGGCAGGUCAGUACGCCCCGAAUCUCCCGGGCUACACGCGCGCUACAAAGGACAGGACAAUGAGUUGCGACCUCGAAAGGGGUAGCUAACCUCGAAACCUGUUCGUAGUUAGGAUUGAGGGCUGUAACUCGCCCUCAUGAAUGUGGAUUCCGUAGUAAUCGCGGGUCAACAGCCCGCGGUGAAUAUGCCCCUGCUCCUUGCACACACCGCCCGUCAAACCAUCCGAGCUGGUGUUGGAUGAGGGUAUGCUCGAGAGAACAAACUCGAAUCUGAUGUCAGUGAGGAGGGUUAAGUCGUAACAAGGUAUCCGUAGGGGAACCUGCGGAUG